ACCUCCGGAUGUGGAUGAUUUUUGUAGUUGGCGAAUUGGGAGUGUCUCAUGCUAGGUAGAGGGAGGAUAAAAAUGGAGACUUGAGUCAGGAGCACAGCCAGGAUUUUAAGGUUAUAAGCUUUUUCUGACUCUUGGCAACUGCCAUCCGGUCGGGUGGGGUUCCAGCUGGGCCCAGAAUUGGGUUAGGAUCGGCGGCCGUCGGAGCGCAGGGAAGGAGGAGGCGCGACGGUGAACGGGGCUAGUGGGACAGCAUUUGGGCCAUUUUUUUCCUCCUUCGAGCCUGGUAACGCCGAUGAUACCCUGUUUGUUUGCACUAGGGAGCCUGUGUGGGUAAUCGUUCAGCCCCUUGCCAGAGCGGAGGGAGAGUCGCGGUUGCAGAAGUUUCAGAGAACUUUAAAACUAAGUUAGGGAAGAAGUUUCUUCACUAUCUCAUGACGAAUUUUUUUUUAAAGAAGAAAGACAAGAAGCCUAAGAAGUCAACCUGGAAGUUUAAUUUGGACCUUACUCGUCCAGUAGAAGAUGGAAUUUUUGAUUCUGGAAAUUUUGGUACCUUCCCUAGUGAAUUUCUAGGGUUUUCUUCCCUAGUGUGGCACUCUUUCUGUUUUAAAAUAGGAACAGUUUCUACGGGAGAAGGUUAAAGUGAAUGGAAAAACUGGAAAUCUUGGGAAUGUCGUUCACAUUGAACGCUUCAAGAAUAAAAUCACAGUUGUUUCUGAGAAACAGUUCUCUAAAAGGUAUUUGAAAUACCUUACCAAGAAAU